rnacentral:rRNA from 1 species
UACAGAGGUGCCGAGCGUUAGGCGGAAUCACUGGGCUUAAAGCGUGUGUAGGCGGACGUCUAAGUACCUUGUGAAAUCCCACGGCUCACCCGUGGAACUGCUGGGUAUACUGGGCGUCUUGAGCCACCUAGGGGCCAGCGGAACAAAUGGUGGAGCGGUGAAAUGCGUAGAUAUCAUUUGGAACGCCAACGGUGAAAACAGCUGGCUGGGGGUGUGCUGACGCUGGAGACACGAAAGCCAGGGGAGCGAACGGG